rnacentral:rRNA from 1 species
CCAAUAGCGUAUAUUAAAGUUGCUGCAGUUAAAAAGCUCGUAGUUGAAUUUCGGGACCAAUAUGUCGGUCGUGCCUCGGUACGUACUGGCAUCGUUGGUUUCUCCUUUCUGAAGAACCAUGAUGUCAUUUAUUUGGUGUCGUGGGGAAUCAGGACUGUUACUUUGAAAAAAUUAGAGUGUUUAAAGCAGGCUCACGCUUGAAUACAUUAGCAUGGAAUAAUGAAAUAGGACGUUUGAUUCUAUUUUGUUGGUUUCUAGGAUCGACGUAAUGAUUAAUAGGGAUAUUGGGGGGCAUUAGUAUUCAAUUGUCAGAGGUGAAAUGCUUGGAUUUAUUGAAGACUAACUACUGCGAAAGCAUUUGCCAAGGAUGUUUUCAUUAAUCAAGAACGAAAGUUAGGGGAUCGAAGACGAUCAGAUACCGUCGUAGUCUUAACCAUAAACUAUGCCGACUAGGGACCGGAUGAUGUUAAUUUUUUAAUGACUCAUUCGGCGCCUUACG